GAUGAACGCUGGCGGCGUGCCUAAUACAUGCAAGUCGAGCGAACGGACGAGAAGCUUGCUUUUCUGAUGUUAGCGGCGGACGGGUGAGUAACACGUGGAUAACCUACCUAUAAGACUGGGAUAACUUCGGGAAACCGGAGCUAAUACCGGAUAAUAUUUUGAACCGCAUGGUUCAAAAGUGAAAGACGGUCUUGCUGUCACUAAUAGAUGGAUCCGCGCUGCAUUAGCUAGUUGGUAAGGUAACGGCUUACCAAGGCAACGAUGCAUAGCCGACCUGAGAGGGUGAUCGGCCACACUGGAACUGAGACACGGUCCAGACUCCUACGGGAGGCAGCAGUAGGGAAUCUUCCGCAAUGGGCGAAAGCCUGACGGAGCAACGCCGCGUGAGUGAUGAAGGCCUUCGGAUCGUAAAACCCUGUUAUUAGGGAAGAAAAGAUGUGGAAGUAACUGUGGAUAUUUUGACGGUACCUAAAGAGAAAGCAACGGCUAACUACGUG
rnacentral:rRNA from 1 species